UGGGUAAUAGCUCAGUGGUAGAACGUGUGUUUGGCGUGCACAAGGUCCCGGGUUCAAUCCCCAGUGCCUCCG
rnacentral:tRNA from 1 species